UAUUGUGUAAUGCACCGGAAGCGGGAAGUGUGUGCGAUCAUGGCGGACUCACGCGGCGUCCUGCCGGCUCUGCCCAAACAUUCGUACUGGUUUGACUUCUGGAUGUUUCUGCUGUUCGAUGUGGUUCUUUUCCUCAUCUUUUACUUCGUCCUUCCCUGAGCGCCGUCUGUCUCCUGCGCGCUUCACCGAGUGCCUGAUCCUCAGACGAUGGACGGAUCUGGAGGACUGGCUCUCGUCCUGAACGCUAAACACAUUCCCUGCUCUACUCACACGCUGAAAUGCAUUUAAUAACCGGAAGUCUAACACGGGCCCUUCUGGCUCCCACUGUGAGGAAUCACUAAUCAAGAAGAUGCACCUUCAGCAGUCUGGAUGCUUCAGACACGUUAUCCUGGAACCUAGAAAUACCACUGAAUUAAAGCCUGAAUAAUUAAAUCAGUGUGACUUCUAAAUGUUUUGUUUUUCUUUUCUUUUUCUCAUAUGAAACAUAAUCGAUUAAAACAGGCCAGAGCAACAAUAUCAGACAUUAUUAAACUUAUUGAAUAAAAUGUCCAGAAAAUGA